CAAAGAGUCGAGUUGUUUGGGAAUGCAGCUCAAAAUGGGUGGUAAAUUCCAUCUAAAGCUAAAUAUUGGCGAGAGACCGAUAGCGAACAAGUACCGUGAGGGAAAGAUGAAAAGAACUUUGGAAAGAGAGUUAAACAGUACGUGAAAUUGUUGAAAGGGAAACGCUUGAAGUCAGUCACGUUGGCUAGAAAUCAACCCUUCAAUUUUUGAAGGGUGUACUUUCUGGUUUUACGGGUCAACAUCAAUUUUGACUGUUGGAUAAAAUUUGAUAUUUAUGCAUUUUCGGAUGUAUAGCCUUUGAUUGCAUACAACAGUUGGGAUUGAGGAACUCAGCAUGCCGCAAGGCCGGGUACAAAGUGACCACGUACAUGCUUAGGAUGUUGGCAUAAUGGCUUUAAUCGACCCGUCUUGAAACACGGACCAAGGAGUCUAACAUGCCCGCGAGUGUUUGGGUGGUAAACCCGAGCGCGUAAUGAAAGUGAAUGUUGAGAUCUCUGUCAUGGAGAGCAUCGACGCCCGGACCAGACCUUUUGUGACGGUUCCGCGGUAGAGCGUGUAUGUUGGGACCCGAAAGAUGGUGAACUAUGCCUGAAUAGGGUGAAGCCAGAGGAAACUCUGGUGGAGGCUCGUAGCGAUUCUGACGUGCAAAUCGAUCGUCG
rnacentral:rRNA from 1 species